GUAUUUGUACUUAGCCUGGUGUGGUUUUACUUCUGUAAAGUCAAUUUCUUACUUUUUUCUUGGCGAGUUUUUUCAGAGACAGUGGCCAGGGCUGGGUUUAGGACUCUGUUUGGCAUUUACAUGAGCGCAGGUUGUGCACUGGAGAGCUGCUUAAUCUGUUAGGCUUUGAAGACGGGGGAUCUUAAAAUGGCUCCGGAGGAGCUGAGGUAGCUUUGCUCUUUUUAAGUGGGUGGUAGACUGUAGGUGACUGAUUAAAGUUUCUUUAAUAGUUCAGGAUAUGAAGAGUCUAGAGUCAGGAAGAAUCUACUAACUUUCCUGAUUUUUAUUGGCUCUGAGAUCUGAAGCCAGUUUUUUGUUGUUGUUGAGUAUAUGGGAUUGUCAGGCAGAUCUGGCUGUGGAAAGGAGACUGUGGGCAGCAAGUUUAGAGGCGUGACUGAAAGUGGCGCUGUGACCUUAGCUGCUGAAUCAGCUUUCUGGUUACUAUGGGCAACAGCCUUGUUUUCUUUUUGAUGUCCUUUGCAGUGGAUCACAGCUACCUGCUGAGUUCCUCCCACUGAAGAAUCGGAGUAUAUUUCUCCAGCCGCUAAUGUUGGAUUUAGUCAUGUGUCUAGCUUUGGCCACUGGAAUAUUAAUCUGCAUGACCAAAAACUUGGAAAGUGUGCAUUCAUUUGUGCUCGCUCACUCCUGCUAUCACCAUGAGAACAAGCCGAGGCCAGAAUGCUGCUUCCAGAAGAAGACAAGAGACAUCAAGUGCAAAGUCAAGCUUCCCAGACAUGCUCAUGCCAGAUUAACCAAUCCUCAGCUGACCCAUAGAUCCAUGAAAAUAAACAAUUGUUGUAUUAAGCCACUGAGAUUUGGAGUGACAUGUUAUGCAGCAUUGUGUGACAACAACUAAUGGAUACAAGGGUCACCAUCCUUUAUCUCUGUAGAUUUUAACCAAUUUUUAAUAGCUAGAUGGAGAUCUUCUAGUUGCCCUUAUUUAUAAUGAAUAUGACUGUAGAGCUAAUUUGGCCUGACACUACCAGUAACCUACCCAGAAAUUCAGAAAUACUUUCUUCUCCAACCCGCCCCAACCAACCUUUUUUUUUGUUUGUUUUUGGGUUAUCCUUCUUUGCCUAGGCUAGAGUACAAGUGGUACAGUCAGAGCUCACUGUAACCUCAAAAUCCUGGGCUCAAGUGAUCUUCCCCUUCAGCCUCCUGAGUAGCUAAGACUACAGACAUGUGCCACCAUGCCUGGCUAAUUUUUUUAUUCUUUGCAGAGACAGGGUCUCAGUAUAUUGCACAAGUUGGUUUCAAACUCCUGGCUUCAAGCAGUCCUCCUGCCUCAUCCACCCAAGGUGCUAGGAUUAUAGGCAUGAGCCACCAUGCCCAGCCUCUUCUUCUUUUUAAAUAGAAACACUAUUUUAUUCUGACAGUGGGUUGCUUUCUUUUUUUUUUUUUAAGAAAAAGUUGACCCAGCCCCAGGGAAUAAAUUCUGACUGUUCUAAACAGGGUUGGCAAACUAUAGACCAGGGGCCAAAUCUGGCCCUCUGACUGUUUGUAUAAAUUAAGUUUUACUGGAAUAAACCCAGGUCCACUCAUUUAUGCAUUGUCUACAUAUGCUUUUAGGCUACGAUGGCACCACUGCGUCACUGCAACAGAAGUUAUCUAGACCAAAAGCCUAAAAUAUUACCGUUUGCCUCUUUAUGGAAAAAGUUUGCCAUUCCCUAGUCUAAGGUUUAGAGUCUGAGCUUAUCAUUUUAGCCUAAUCCCCCUUACCAGUGACUGGCUCAAAACAAGUCUGUGAUUCCAUUCUGACUGUUCUACUGAGGGAAUUCCCCCUUCUUCUCAUGCAGAGCUGAUGAGGGUAAGUUGUAUUAAUAGGACAUAUGCUCAGGUUUUCUGAAAAAUACUUUUAUCUAGAAAUGCAUAGGAAUAUGCUGGUGCCUGAAUGUACCAUCUGGGGGCCUGGAGAUUGACUCACACUGCCUCCAGAGCUAGUGCUCACACUUACUACUGAGAGGCCUGAGGAAACGCCUGCCUACCCACCACCAGAACCUGCACACAUCACCUGGAGAACUAGAGAUCAGACUGCCACACACACCACCCAGGAGCCCAGUGGCACACCUGCCCACCUGGCCCAGUGUUGCCACUGCCAGCAACCAAAGAAGCCACCUGGGGACCCAAGGAUUGGCACAUGCAGACAGGCUAUCAUCAGUGCCCAUAUACACUGCCCAUGGUCCCUAGUAUUGACCAACCUGGUCCACCACCACUACCACUGAUGCUGAAGGACAAGACUUCCUGGCAUCCCUAUCCUCAGCAAAGCCUCACCACAUCCUCCAAUAACAACUGUGGUCUGUCCAGGCAUGGUGGCUCACCCCUGUAAUCCCAGCACUUUGAGAGGCCAAGGUGGGUAGAUCAUGAGGUCAGGAGUUCGAGACCAGCCUGGCCAACAUGGUGAAAACCCCGUCUCUACUAAAAAUACAAAAAUUAGCUGGGCAUGGUUACACGUGCCUGUAGUCCCAGCUACUCAGGAGGCUGAGGCAGGAUAAUCACUUGAACCCAGGAGGCAGAGGUUGCAGUGAGCUGAGAUUGUGUCACUGAACUCCAGCCUGGUGACAGAGCUAGACUCCAUCUCAUCAACCACACACACACACACACAAAAACCAAAAAAAAAAAAAAAAAAACUGCAGUCUAAGCCACUGAAUGACUCAGAGACACCACUCAGGCCAAUUACAGCUGAAGAAAUCAUAUGCAGACUAUACCACUGUACCCACCCAGAAUCAAAGCCAAAGUGUGGUAUCCAAUGAACAUUGUAGAUACAGCUAUAAGAAAAGGUCUUUCCCAUAUAAAAGCCAAUCCAUAAAAUUGGAAGAAGUGACUGUUAUGUCAGAGGCACAGAUAGUCACAUAAGGAUGCAAGAAAUAUGAAAAAGGAAACAUAACAUCUCCAAAGAAGCACAAUAAUUCUCCAGCAACAGAUUCCAAUGAAAAGAAAAUCUAUGAAAUGCCUGAAAAAAAUUAAGAAUAAUGUUAUUAAAGAAACUCAGGGAGAUACAAGAGAACACAGAUAACGAAUACAAAAAAAUCAGGAAAACAAUUCAUGAUCUGAAUGAGAAAUUCAACAGAGAUAGACAGCAUAACAAAGAACCAAACACAAAUCCUGGAAGAGAAUAAAUCAUUGAAAGAAAUACAAAAGAUAAUUGAAAGCUUUAACAACAG
rnacentral:lncRNA from 10 species